rnacentral:rRNA from 1 species
GACAGAGGGUGCAAACGUUGUUCGGAAUUACUGGGCGUAAAGCGCGUGUAGGCGGCUUGGCAAGUCGGGUGUGAAAGCCCUGGGCUCAACCUAGGAAGUGCACUCGAAACUGCCUCGCUGGAGUGCCGGAGAGGAAAGCGGAAUUCUCGGUGUAGAGGUGAAAUUCGUAGAUAUCUGGAGGAACACCGGUGGCGAAGGCGGCAUCCUGGACCGGCAUUGACGCUGAGGCGCGAAAGCCAGGGGAGCAAACGGG